rnacentral:rRNA from 1 species
CUCAGAAACUUAAAGGAAUUGACGGGGCCCGCACAAGCGGUGGAGUAUGUGGUUUAAUUCGAUGCAACGCGAAGAACCUUACCUGGUCUUGACAUCCCGGAGACCCUUAGGAAACUAGGGGGUGCUUCCAUCUGGAAGAAUCUGGAGACAGGUGCUGCAUGGCUGUCGUCAGCUCGUGUCGUGAGAUGUUGGGUUAAGUCCCGCAACGAGCGCAACCCUUGCCUUUAGUUGCCAGCAGUUCGGCUGGGCACUCUAAAGGGACUGCCGGUGUUAAACCGGAGGAAGGUGGGGAUGACGUCAAGUCCUCAUGGCCUUUAUGACCAGGGCUACACACGUACUACAAUGGCCGAUACAAAGGGCAGCGACACUGCGAGGUGAAGCCAAUCCCGUAAAAUCGGUCUCAGUCCGGAUUGGAGUCUGCAGCUCGACUCCAUGAAGUUGGAAUCGCUAGUAAUCGUGGAUCAGCAUGUCACGGUGAAUACGUUCCCGGGCCUU